GUCCUACGGGGCGCAGCAGUGGGGAAUAUUGCGCAAUGGGCGAAAGCCUGACGCAGCGACGCCGCGUAUAGGAAGAAGGUUUUCGGAUUGUAAACUAUUUUAGACAGGGAAGAAAAAAGACAGUACCUGUAGAAUAAGCUCCGGCUAACUACGUGCCAGCAGCCGCGGUAAUACGUAGGGAGCAAGCGUUAUCCGGAAUUAUUGGGUGUAAAGGGUGCGUAGACGGGACAGCAAGUUAGUUGUGAAAGCCCCCGGCUUACCUGAGGAACUGCAACUAAAACUAUUGUUCUUGAGUGCAGGAGAGG
rnacentral:rRNA from 1 species